rnacentral:misc_RNA from 1 species
UGCAAAAGGACUAAUUGAAGAUGAGACUAAGGUUACAAGAAUUACACCAUUCCCCCCUAAGUCUCAGGAAUACAUAGACAUUUGCAGCAGUGUGUACGUGGAAAGAUUAUUAUACCCCAUGCUUCAAUUGAAUGGAUUACCAGCAUAUUUUCUGAAUAUAUGGAGUGGUAGCAUAGCAUAUACUAAAUUCAAAGAUGCAACACGAAGAAGAAGCUGUGCAUUUGUGGAAUUUUGUGAUUCCGAGUCAGCUGCCAAAGCUGUCACAGAAUAUGCAGCCUCCAGCGAGUAUCAUGUAUUGACUGAAGAUCCAGGGCAGUCAUGUAGUAUUCAGGUGUUUGAUGCAGAGAGCCAAGACGAAAAGGGGGACAAGAAGAAAACGAGCACACAACUAGACACGGAGGAAGCAGGCAGAUCAUUUCCAAGUUCCGUGUGUUGUUGAAUGCUCAAGAAGCAUUUUAAAUACUAUGUGAUCAAUUCAAAUUUUAAACACGCACCAAUGCUUGUAGUGUACCCGUGUUAAACUUCAAUAAAAAAUAUGUGAUAGUUCAAAAAA